rnacentral:tRNA from 1 species
CCCUCGGUGACGAAGACGUGUAAUAGCCUCUCGGCUUUCUGUUAACCGGAGGGUUGCAGGUUCGAGUCCUGCCUGAGGAGCCA